GCCCAGCAGGCACCACCAGGGUCAAUCCCCCUCACCCACUGCACUGAGGAAGCCCAGAACCGGCUCGUGGAGAUCUAAAAGCUGGUGAAAGAUGCAGGGCAAUAAGAAGCGACUCCAUGCCCAUGACUGGAUGGAAGGAAACAGUGAAGCUGCCAGGAGGACACGGAAGGUAAUCCCCACGCGAUGGGCUACAGGGAAGAUAAGCAAGGGAUUUAGAAGUCAAGUCAGGAUGCCCAAAAAGGCUUCUUGGAGGAGGUGGCAAUCCCCUUGUAGUCCCUGGCCUCUACUCUCCACAGAUCUGACCCUACAAUGUGGGGCUUGAUGGGCACACUGCCCUAGCCAAUCAGAUUGCCCAUUCUUUUGUCUACAAUGGGAGAAAAGGCUGCUCUUUCUAGACAAAGGACGUAUCUUUCUAGACAAGUCCAUCAGAUUUCAUCCCCGGACCCCACACCCUCCAUUAGGAAAGAAGAUGGCUGUCUCCUUCUCCAGACCGGAUGAGUCAGGAUGAGCACCCAAGCUUGUUUCAGACAGACACAGAACAGAACGAUGCCUUUUGACUCCUGGAGAAUUCUGAUGUUGUAAGGAGCCUGUAACCUGGCAGGCAAAAGGCCUGGCUGAAGAGAGAUUAAAAGAAAGGGAGCAUAGACCCACACUACACGGCCAUUGUAGAUAAGAGUGAGAAUGUGUGGAGUGUAGCAAAGUGUGAUUAGCAAGAUUUAGCAAACUAUUUAAGGGACCAGCAGAACUGGGAACUUUAAAGUGUACCACGACUCUAUGUCCUGGAGCUCUCUUCCUCUAACCUGAAACAACCAGUCCAUCAAGCUGAGACCCAUACAGCAAUACCGGGUCCUCAAGAAACUCAAACAGCCUGAAUUCAGAGGAACAGAAGUAGAGAGCCCAAACCUGCGGGCGGCUGCAGGAGAGGUGCCCCCUGCUGUGAGCCUAUUGUCUGUGGUUCUUAGGAUUGUUUGCUUAUGCUUGUGUGUGUUACUUUGACAUAAGUGUGAAGUAAAACUUAUAUACUCAAACCAACUCGCUGAGUCUGUCAUUCCUCCCAGGUCAAAACCUGGUAAGGGCUCCAGACAGUUGUAAUAAACUGGAAAGAAAGAGACA
rnacentral:lncRNA from 1 species